GCGCCCGUAGCUCAACAGGACAGAGCAACGGACUUCUAAUCCGUAGGUUGUGGGUUCGAUUCCCGCCGGGCGCGCCA
rnacentral:tRNA from 3 species